UUUCCGUAGGUGAACCUGCGGAAGGAUCAUUAAAAAUCAUAGUCCCUUCGGACUAUAUCUAACCCACUUUCUUUAUAUUAGCUUUGUUACUUUUUAAGUCUCGUUUGAGAAGCACCGGCCUACGCUUGUCCUUGAUUUCCACAUUUCCCAAAACACUUAUUAUUAAUAUCACCUGAGUACUAACUAAUAUUAAAAACUUUCAACAUCGCAUCUCUUGCUUCUUGCAUCUCUGAAGAACGCAAGAGAACAGGAGUGCACACGUCUCAACUUCAGUCACCC
rnacentral:misc_RNA from 1 species